AAUUAGUUAAUUGCAAUUAAUUAAAAUUAAAUAAUAAUUCGAAUCAAUUAAUUUAAUUUUUAAGUCAUCUCUUGUAUAUUGUGAAAAAUGCAAUCACUGUGGAUAGUGUUACAUGUGAUAUAUUUCUCUAACUCAUCGUUUUUAUUCAUUUACAUUGAUUCAGUUUGCAAACCAGUUAGAGUUUGUACCGAGCUAGUGGAGGGACACAUUGGACAUAUAUAAUUGCAGCUUAAAUAAUUUUCAAUUAAGUUCUGACUUUUCAUAUAUUAAUUACAAUAUUAUUUCGUCA
rnacentral:lncRNA from 1 species